rnacentral:rRNA from 1 species
UACGUAGGGGGCGAGCGUUGUCCGGAUUCAUUGGGCGUAAGCGCGCGCAGGCGGCUCGGAAAGUCGGGUGUGAAAUCUCGGGGCUUAACUCCGAAACUGCAUUCGAUACUGCCGUGCUUGAGGACUGGAGAGGAGACUGGAAUUGACGGUGUAGCGGUGAAAUGCGUAGAUAUCGUAAGGAAGACCAGUGGCGAAGGCGGGUUGCUGGGCUGAUACUGACGCUGAGGCGCGAAAGCCAGGGGAGCGAACGGGG